AUUGAACGCUGGCGGAAUGCUUUACACAUGCAAGUCGAACGGCAGCACGGGGGCAGCCCUGGUGGCGAGUGGCGAACGGGUGAGUAAUACAUCGGAACGUGCCCGGUCGUGGGGGAUAACGUCGCGAAAGUUACGCUAAUACCGCAUACGAUCUGAGGAUGAAAGCGGGGGACCUUCGGGCCUCGCGCGAUCGGAGCGGCCGAUGUCAGAUUAGGUAGUUGGUGGGGUAAAGGCCUACCAAGCCGACGAUCUGUAGCUGGUCUGAGAGGACGACCAGCCACACUGGGACUGAGACACGGCCCAGACUCCUACGGGAGGCAGCAGUGGGGAAUUUUGGACAAUGGGCGCAAGCCUGAUCCAGCCAUGCCGCGUGCAGGACGAAGGCCUUCGGGUUGUAAACUGCUUUUGUACGGAACGAAAAGGCUCUGGCUAAUACCUGGGGCUCAUGACGGUACCGUAAGAAUAAGCACCGGCUAACUACGUG
rnacentral:rRNA from 1 species